rnacentral:rRNA from 1 species
CGGAGGGUGCAAGCGUUAUCCGGAUUCACUGGGUUUAAGGGGUGCGUAGUGGGCAAGUAAGUCAGUGGUGAAAUCUCCGGGCUUAACCCGGAAACUGCCAUUGAUACUAUUUGUCUUGAAUACUGUGGAGGUCAGCGGAAUAUGUCAUGUAGCGGUGAAAUGCUUAGAUAUGACAUAGAACACCAAUUGCGAAGGCAGCUGGCUACACAAAUAUUGACACUGAGGCACGAAAGCGUGGGGAUCAAACAGGAUUAGAUACCCUGGUAGCCCACGCCCUAAACUAUGGAUACUCGACAUUUGCGAUAAACUGCAAGUGUCUGAGCGAAAGCAUUAAGUAUCCCACCUGGGAAGUACGAUCGCAAGAUUG